rnacentral:rRNA from 1 species
UGGGGAAUCUUGCGCAAUGGGCGAAAGCCUGACGCAGCGACGCCGCGUGAGUGAUGAAGGCCUUCGGGUUGUAAAGCUCUGUGGAGGGGGACGAAUAAGUCGGAGCGAAUAGCUCCGAUGAUGACGGUACCCCUUUAGCAAGCACCGGCUAACUCUGUGCCAGCAGCCGCGGUAAGACAGAGGGUGCAAACGUUGUUCGGAAUUACUGGGCGUAAAGCGCGUGUAGGCUGCUCGACAAGUCGGAUGUGAAAGCCCUGGGCUCAACCUAGGAAGUGCAUUCGAUACUGUCGAGCUUGAGUCCUGGAGAGGAAGGCGGAAUUCUCGGUGUAGAGGUGAAAUUCGUAGAUAUCGAGAGGAACACCGGUGGCGAAGGCGGCCUUCUGGACAGUGACUGACGCUGAGACGCGAAAGCGUGGGGAGCAAACAGG